GGAACUUGGAUGGCAAUCACCUAAGAACUCCAAACUCAGUGCCAGGGCAGACUGGUGUCUAUUUUGCAAUGUCUUCCAGUAGUUGAUAACUUUCUACUUUUAAAAUAAUUGGAAGAAUGUAAGCUCUCAACUAGUCCACUAGUCCCGAAACAAUAGAUACCAGCUGGCAGAGAUAAUAGCUGUCUGGAAGAGAGAGAUACAUACCACAUCAAAAAACAACAAAAAAAGGAUGGCUCAAGUACUCAAAAGGCAGCACUAAAAUAAGGCUAUGUCUCUUCCUGAGAAUACUCUGGACUUCAUUCUCUGAUUAAAGAUCACAACUGCUUCUUCGUUGAGGAAAUCAUGUAUUUCAAAGCCACCAAUGAACAAGGUAAUGGGAUGUAUUGGUCCAGCACUGAUAACAGGUUAUCCUACAAUCAAGUAUACUCUUUCCAGAAAGCUGAGUUAGGUAUGCAACUGCCUUUCUAAGCCAUGACUACAUUGCUAAAUGAAUCAUUGAUUUGGAAAAUCUGAAGUGACCUUCAGCUUGUUCUCCAGCUCUUCCUCAACAGAAAAGAGAGGCAAAAUCAGCAAAAUAUUGGAAAGAGAUUUUAACCUGAAUGGAAAAGACAAUAUGAGGGUGAUGAAAGACUCUAGAUGGUCCGUCUUGGAGAGAAGGUUUUGCCGUCUUGCCCCAGUUGGUCUCGAACUCCCGGGCUCAAGCAAUCCACCUGCCUUGGCCUCCCAAAGUGCUGGGAUUACAGACGUGAGCCACCAUACCCUGUCCAGUUUGGAAAUUUCUUACAAAGCUAAACCUAGUCUUAGAAUACAUUCCUGCAAUUGUUCUCUUAGGUAUUUUCUCAACUUACUUGAAAACUUCCAUCCAUAUAAAAAUGGGCACUCUCUAUACAAUCACCUCAAAGUGACUUUAAUCCUUAUUAAUGUAUGAUUCUUCACACACCUCCGGAGUCCAUUAUUGAAUAUUUUAUAGUUCAGGGCCUUUUAGCUCCUAAGCAUUCUUCCCACUGGGCAUCUGUUCCUGUAACGUGGAUUCACACUGCAUAUUCAGUCCCGCUCAAACUGACCAGCGUUAUGAUGUGUUCUUCUCUGCAAUGUGCCCUCAAACAAAACGAAUUGAAUCCUUUCAUGUUUUUACAUUUCUUUAGUUAAUUAUUAGGAGGUAUUGGAGUUGGUGCUACCCUGUGAAUAGAAAAUGUAAGAGGAUAUCUCCGGAUACUCCUGCCCCCUCUUUGAAAUGUGACCAUUUUGAUGUGGAGGAAAUUGUGCUGCUCUUGCUAAGUUAGCCAAAGGAAUUGAUCUGCUUGUAGAAAGUCCACACUGACUAUGAGGCAGACCUGCAAAGGCUGAUGGGGAUACUGUCUUGCAUUGGGUUAGGCAAAGCUGAGUCUUCCUUUAUAUUAAAAUAUUAUGAACUGGCACCUAAAGAGCCAACACUCAGAACUGACCAAACCCAAUCAAGAUGUUCCCUUGUUGUUACUAAAUUAUACUAAUUUGAAUUUACUAAUACUAUUCCCCAAAAGGGAGCUAUAU
rnacentral:lncRNA from 1 species